UGGGGAAUCUUGCACAAUGGGCGAAAGCCUGAUGCAGCAACGCCGCGUGCGGGAAGACAGCCCUAGGGUUGUAAACCGCUUUCAGCAGGGAAGAAACUGACGGUACCUGCAGAAGAAGAUGCGGCCAACUACGUGCCAGCAGCCGCGGUGACACGUAGGCAUCAAGCGUUAUCCGGAUUUAUUGGGCGUAAAGAGCUCGUAGGCGGUUCGGUAAGUCGGGUGUGAAACUCUGGGCUCAACCCAGAGAGGCCACUCGAUACUGCUGUGACUAGAGUGCGGUAGGGGAGCGGGGAAUUCCUGGUGUAGCGGUGAAAUGCGCAGAUAUCAGGAGGAACACCAGUGGCGAAGGCGCCGCUCUGGGCCGUAACUGACGCUGAGGAGCGAAAGCAUGGGUAGCAAACAGGAUUAGAUACCCUGGUAGUCCAUGCCGUAAACGUUGGG
rnacentral:rRNA from 1 species